GGGGCGCGCCGGACCGGGUCCUUGGGCUGAGCCCUGCUCCCGCUGGACGCCCUUCCGCGAGCUUCUGGGAAAAGCGCGCGGAAGGAGCCAGAAGGAGGGGGCGCGCACCGCGCAGGUGCGUCGGGGUGAGGCGGCAGAGGGAACAUGGGGAGGUGCCCUCCUUCCUUGACUUUUUCCUUGGUGUAGACCCUGCCUGUGCCAAGCCCCGCGCGGGGAGGGAGCGCACCGGUGAGCGGGGAGACCCGGGGCUGAGCAGGCAGCUCCGGCUGCGGCCGCGGCGCCCUCAGCCGCGCCCCCCAGGCUGCGCGCGGACGGCCCACGGCCCGGGCAAGCCUCCCGCAGGACUGGCCUUCUGGCGACCCCUUCAGGAGGCAGCGCUCGGCAGGAGAGGGAAAGGCGGGGAGGCGUGCGGGGCAGGGGCAGGGGAAGACGGGGCCAAGGGAGGCUGAGCUGCGUCGGGGAGCUGGGGCGCCGGGGAGAGCUAUGCGGACAGGCGCGCAACCACAUCGUGAAGUCUCGAAGUUCCUUCACCGCCCCAGGUCCCCGACUCUCAGAGGUCGACAAGUGGCGCCCGAACAGGGACCCGAAGCCCCCGUCGAGGAGUGAUCAGCCAGCAAUAGGAACCCUACGGAAGGUGUUCCUUCACCGCCCCAGGUCCCCGACUCUCAGAGGUCGACAAGUGGCGCCCGAACAGGGACCCGAAGCCCCCGUCGAGGAGUGAUCAGCCAGCAAUAGGAACCCUACGGAAGGUGAUCGAGCAAUUUGGGUACCUCUUCGGAAAGUCCGGCCCAGGACUGGCGAUGAAGACAACAUAAGAGGUCUCUCAGCCGCUGCAGGGAUUGACUACCCAGCCCCCUGUCCGACAGAUGGCAACACUUUCCUUGAAGAGACCUCGAAAACGAAAAUUGCCUCCGACAACACCUCCAACCUGGGGGCAACUGAAGACCCUCACUCAGAGGGCGGAGCGAGUCCUGGAGACGACCAGAUCUACCAAAAGCCCUGAACAUUUGUUCCUGGCUAUGUUAGCGGUGGGGACAUGCGCCUCAGCGCAGUAUGGAUUCCAUCCUUCUCCAGGCCCGUAUGGGGGUCUGGAUCCUGGAUACUGUAUCCUCAAAAAACAAAUGAGUGCCCCAAAUCUCCAUCACAGAGUGCUUACGACAGCGGCUAAUUUGAAAAAAGAAAGGGGGAGCUGUGGGAAACAGAACGCCACAACAACCACUGGUGCAAGCUCGCUCAGACUCCGAGAUCUCUGGGAAAACUCGAGAUUGCAGGAUUAAAAAUAACCAGGAAGGAUCACAGUGAAAUUCCCUUGGAAUGUGUGUGAUCAGUUCCAAAGAACACAGCAGAAGAUGUUUAGUAGGUAGGAAGCCAGCUGUAAAUAGCACACUGGGCACUCCCCUAUUUGUUCCUUUAUUCUGUUUUAAAGAUUCUUACAUGCUUGACUGAUCCUGGGUACGUGGAGGAAUGUGCCCUACUGCGCCCCUGCUGUAAAUCAUUAUAGGUCUAUAUCGCCGUAGAAGGUAUAGAAGAGGAUGGAAAAUAAACCUUGGCACCUUGGGCUGUUAGCUCGGGGUCCCCUGU